GUCGUGAGAUGUUGGGUUAAGUCCCGCAACGAGCGCAACCCUUGUCUUUAAUUGCCAUCAUUCAGUUGGGCACUUUAAAGAGACUGCCGGUGUCAAACCGGAGGAAGGUGGGGACGACGUCAAAUCAUCAUGCCCCUUACGACCUGGGCUACACACGUGCUACAAUGGGUACAACAAAGGGAUGCGAAAUCGCAAGAUGGAGCGAAACCCAGAAAAGUACUCUCAGUUCAGAUUGUGGGCUGCAACCCGCCCACAUGAAGUUGGAGUUGCUA
rnacentral:rRNA from 1 species